UGGCAAGAUGUUGGCAUAGCUGU
rnacentral:ncRNA from 5 species